UACGUAGGGUGCGAGCGUUGUCCGGAAUUAUUGGGCGUAAAGAGCUCGUAGGCGGUGUGUCACGUCGGCCGUGAAAACCUGGGGCUUAACUCUGGGCGUGCGGUCGAUACGGGCAUCACUAGAGUUCGGCAGGGGAGACUGGAAUUCCUGGUGUAGCGUUGAAAUGCGCAGAUAUCAGGAGGAACACCGGUGGCGAAGGCGGGUCUCUGGGCCGAUACUGACGCUGAGGCGCGAAAGCUAGGGGAGCAAACAGG
rnacentral:rRNA from 1 species